rnacentral:rRNA from 1 species
GAGUGAACGCUGGCGGUAGGCCUAACACAUGCAAGUCGAACGGCAGCACAGUAAGAGCUUGCUCUUACGGGUGGCGAGUGGCGGACGGGUGAGGAAUACAUCGGAAUCUACUUUUUCGUGGGGGAUAACGUAGGGAAACUUGCGCUAAUACCGCAUACGACCUACGGGUGAAAGCAGGGGAUCUUCGGACCUUGCGCGAUUGAAUGAGCCGAUGUCGGAUUAGCUAGUUGGCGGGGUAAAGGCCCACCAAGGCGACGAUCCGUAGCUGGUCUGAGAGGAUGAUCAGCCACACUGGAACUGAGACACGGUCCAGACUCCUACGGGAGGCAGCAGUGGGGAAUAUUGGACAAUGGGCGCAAGCCUGAUCCAGCCAUACCGCGUGGGUGAAGAAGGCCUUCGGGUUGUAAAGCCCUUUUGUUGGGAAAGAAAAGCAGCAGGUUAAUACCCCGCUGUUCUGACGGUACCCAAAGAAUAAGCACCGGCUAACUUCGUG